rnacentral:rRNA from 1 species
UGCAACUCGCCUGCAUGAAGUCGGAAUUGCUAGUAAUCGCAGAUCAGCAUGCUGCGGUGAAUACGUUCCCGGGCCUUGUACACACCGCCCGUCACACCAUGGGAGUCGGUAACACCCGAAGUCGGUAGCCUAACCGUAAGGAGGGCGCCGCCGAAGGUGGGAUUGAUGACUGGGGUGAAGUCGUAACAAGGUACC